GACGAACCGUGCGAACGUUAUUCGGAAUCAUUGGGCUUAAAGGGCGCGUAGGCGGCGGCGUAAGUUGGAAGUGAAAUCCCAUCGGCUCAACCGUGGAAUUGCUCCCAGUACUGCGUCGCUCGAGGGGGAUAGGGGUCUGCGGAACUACCGGUGGAGCGGUGAAAUGUGUUGAUAUCGGUGGGAACGCCAGUGGCGAAGCGGCAGACUGGACCCUUCCUGACGCUGAUGCGCGAAAGCUAGGGGAGCAAACGGG
rnacentral:rRNA from 1 species